AAAUUGAAGAGUUUGAUCAUGGCUCAGAUUGAACGCUGGCGGCAGGCCUAACACAUGCAAGUCGAACGGUAACAGGAAACAGCUUGCUGUUUCGCUGACGAGUGGCGGACGGGUGAGUAAUGUCUGGGAAACUGCCUGAUGGAGGGGGAUAACUACUGGAAACGGUAGCUAAUACCGCAUAAUGUCGCAAGACCAAAGAGGGGGACCUUCGGGCCUCUUGCCAU
rnacentral:rRNA from 1 species